GGUUAUGGGGAUAAAAACGGCUUAUGUCGAUUUCUGGCUAAACUACAAGUCUUACGGAAAUAAGGCAUCACAAACUACCUACGAACAUCUUGCGAAAUAUUUGCAGCGUAUUAUUUGCACUGAAAUGUCUAAAGUAAAAAAAAGCGUCAAUUACACCAUUGGACAACAAGUUAUAAAAUAUUAGAAGUCGUCCAGCAGUCAAGAGAGGCACCGAGUAAACAAAGAGCUUGGAAUAUUAUCGGUGACGCCUUGCCAUACAAAGACAUUGCGACAUUUGUAGUUUUAUAAAUCUUUAAAAGAUAACGAGGAAAAACGCAAAGCAUUGGUAUUUAAAAACUAUCCAAAUAUUAUUCACAAAGAUUUACAAAUUAUUAAAAUAUUGUUAGCAAAAGAUUGAAAAAUUAUAGGUUGUGACCGGUUAGAACAAGCAAUUAUUUAUAUUAAUAUAUAUGAUGAUGAGUUAUAUUGCAUUGUUAAUUACAGUCAGUGAAGUAUUUUAAUGUAAUUUAACUAGUGCAUCAUAAUAAAAAUAUAGUUACUAUCAA